rnacentral:lncRNA from 1 species
GCGGGGGAGGGGCGGGGGAGAAAAGGGGACUUGGCUGCCCUCCACCCAGAGGCCUGCAUGCACAUCCAGCCGACACACUGGCUCUAAUCUCUGCUCCUUUGACGCACUCAUUUUCUGGUUUUUCACAAAGGCCGACUGUGCUCCCAGCAGCUGCAGCUGCUCAGGGCCCCAGGGAGGCUGUGGGAAGGGUCGCGGGGACGCUGGCAGCUGCGGGAAAAGACUCUGAGCACCUGUCCCUCUCCUCUGGGUGCUCGCCCCUCCCCCGGCCUAUGCAUUUUCCUGCCGAGGUGCAGUGGUCGGUGAGGGGAAGGGAGGGCAUGGGGGAGCUCGCGCUGCGGCCCAGUGGACUAGGGAGGCGGGUUGCAUCCCCUGCCGGGGAUCUGACAUCGGAUCGGAUCCUUGCCCCAGGAACUUCCAUGUGCCAUGGGUGCAGCCAUAAAGCAACAACAGCAGCAGCAGCAGCAGCAGCAGCAACAAGAACAAGAGCAUCUGCUUUCAGACAGCCACACCCAAGGCCCUCUGUGAGACAACUGGGGCGCAGAGGGCUGGACUCUCGUCCAAGAUCUGAUGACUAGUAAGUGCAGGAGACUCCCCUCCAAGAACCUGGUCCUCUUGGAAGAAGGUAGGAGGUAAUCGGACCCCAUGUGCUGUACCUGGAGGGGCAUGGUGGGGGGCUACUGCCAUUGUUCAGGGAGAGUAGAGGAAGGGCUGAAUGGAGGUGGUGGGUGGAGUGCAAGAAAGGGUGGGGAUGGUCAGAGGAAGGAGGCCUCGGACUAGACGGCUGAUUGGCUGGGAGGCAGGGGGAAGCGGAACCUAGCACGACUUGAUUGGCUGGGAGGCAGGAGGAAGCGGAACCUACCGCGACUUGGGGGUGUGGUCAAUAUGGUGCCUUUACUGAAGAGGGUUGGUGCACAGGAGGCAAAGGAGGUCUUAUGGGAAAUCUGGCAGGUGGCAGCUGUAAAAUAAAGCUCAUGCAGUUGAUGGUAACA